ACAGGGACUACACGCCCGGCUAAUAUUUUUUCUUUGUAUUUUUAAAUAGAGACGGGGUUUCACCGUCUUAGCCAGGAUGGUCUUGAUCUCCUGACCUUGUGAUCCACCCGCCUCGGCCUCCCAAAGUGCUGGGAUUACAGGCGUGAGCCACCGCGCCCGGCCGAUCUGAUGAUUUUAUAAGGGGCACUUCCCCCUUCUCUCAGCAAUUCUCCUUGCUGCCUUGUGAAGAAGGUACUCUGCUUCCCCUUCACCUUCCGCCAUGAUUGUGAGUUUCCUUAGGCCUCCCAGCCUUGCUGAACUAUGCAGGAGGCAAAAAGGGGGAGGGCCCCAGAGAAUCUCCCACCGGCCUACACACUGCAAGAAUGGGUUGGAGCCACGGGAAGUUUGAGCCAUUUGCAGCAGGGAGGAGCUGCGCCUCUUCAGUUCCUGUGCUGUGGCCUGUUAUUCAAUCUGUGAGGUGGGAGCGCUGGCAGGAAUCCUUCUCAUUUUGCUAAGAGUUUUUGUUGUUGUUGUUUUGUUUUUUUCUUUUCGUCCAAUAAAUUCCGUUCCUGUCACCUUUCAAUGUGUCCACAUGCCUAACUUUUCCUGGUUGUGACACAAGAACCCAGAUUUAGCUGAACUAAGGAACAGAAAUUCUGCAACACUAAUCUCCCUUUUAGAAUAUAUUUUAACAGAAAGGGGUAUGGGGUUGUUUCAUGUCAAGAAGCACAUUCUUUUAAUUUUAUUGUUAGGGCAGAAUUAGUCUAGUGUAACCUUUAUAGGUCAGAAUGUAAGAAUGACA
rnacentral:lncRNA from 1 species